AAUGGGUCAGCGACUUAUAUUCUGUAGCAAGGUUAACCGAAUAGGGGAGCCGAAGGGAAACCGAGUCUUAACUGGGCGUUAAGUUGCAGGGUAUAGACCCGAAACCCGGUGAUCUAGCCAUGGGCAGGUUGAAGGUUGGGUAACACUAACUGGAGGACCGAACCGACUAAUGUUGAAAAAUUAGCGGAUGACUUGUGGCUGGGGGUGAAAGGCCAAUCAAACCGGGAGAUAGCUGGUUCUCCCCGAAAGCUAUUUAGGUAGCGCCUCGUGAAUUCAUCUCCGGGGGUAGAGCACUGUUUCGGCAAGGGGGUCAUCCCGACUUACCAACCCGAUGCAAACUGCGAAUACCGGAGAAUGUUAUCACGGGAGACACACGGCGGGUGCUAACGUCCGUCGUGAAGAGGGAAACAACCCAGACCGCCAGCUAAGGUCCCAAAGUCAUGGUUAAGUGGGAAACGAUGUGGGAAGGCCCAGACAGCCAGGAUGUUGGCUUAGAAGCAGCCAUCAUUUAAAGAAAGCGUAAUAGCUCACUGGUCGAGUCGGCCUGCGCGGAAGAUGUAACGGGGCUAAACCAUGCACCGAAGCUGCGGCAGCGACACUAUGUGUUGUUGGGUAGGGGAGCGUUCUGUAAGCCUGUGAAGGUGUGCUGUGAGGUAUGCUGGAGGUAUCAGAAGUGCGAAUGCUGACAUAAGUAACGAUAAAGCGGGUGAAAAGCCCGCUCGCCGGAAGACCAAGGGUUCCUGUCCAACGUUAAUCGGGGCAGGGUGAGUCGACCCCUAAGGCGAGGCCGAAAGGCGUAGUCGAUGGGAAACAGGUUAAUAUUCCUGUACUUGGUGUUACUGCGAAGGGGGGACGGAGAAGGCUAUGUUGGCCGGGCGACGGUUGUCCCGGUUUAAGCGUGUAGGCUGGUUUUCCAGGCAAAUCCGGAAAAUCAAGGCUGAGGCGUGAUGACGAGGCACUACGGUGCUGAAGCAACAAAUGCCCUGCUUCCAGGAAAAGCCUCUAAGCAUCAGGUAACAUCAAAUCGUACCCCAAACCGACACAGGUGGUCAGGUAGAGAAUACCAAGGCGCUUGAGAGAACUCGGGUGAAGGAACUAGGCAAAAUGGUGCCGUAACU
rnacentral:rRNA from 1 species